AUAAAGGAUAAUUAGUGGCAGACGGGUGAGUAAUGCAUAGGAAUCUACCUAGUAGUAUGGGAUAGCCACUAGAAAUGGUGGGUAAUACUGUAUAAUCCCUGCGGGGGAAAGAUUUAUCGCUAUUAGAUGAGCCUAUGUUAGAUUAGCUAGUUGGUAGGGUAAAAGCCUACCAAGGCGAUGAUCUAUAGCUGGUCUGAGAGGAUGAUCAGCCACACUGGAACUGAGAUACGGUCCAGACUCCUACGGGAGGCAGCAGUGGGGAAUAUUGGACAAUGGGCGCAAGCCUGAUCCAGCUAUGCCGCGUGAGUGAGGAAGGCCUUAGGGUUGUAAAACUCUUUCAGUAGGGAAGAUAAUGACGGUACCUACAGAAGAAGUCCCGGCAAACUCCGUGCCAGCAGCCGCGGUAAUACGGAGGGGGCAAGCGUUGUUCGGAAUUAUUGGGCGUAAAGGGCAUGUAGGCGGUUCGGUAAGUUAAAGGUGAAAUGCCAGGGCUUAAC
rnacentral:rRNA from 1 species